rnacentral:rRNA from 1 species
GACGUAGGGCGCGAGCGUUGUCCGGAUUUAUUGGGCGUAAAGAGCUCGUAGGCGGCUUGUUGCGUCGUCCGUGAAAACCUGGGGCUCAACUCCGGAUCUGCGGUGGGUACGGGCAGACUAGAGUGAUGUAGGGGAGACUGGAAUUCCUGGUGUAGCGGUGAAAUGCGCAGAUAUCAGGAGGAACACCGAUGGCGAAGGCAGGUCUCUGGGCUGACACUGACGCUCAUGCACGAAAGCGUGGGGAGCAAACAGG